rnacentral:rRNA from 1 species
GACGCUGGCGGCGCGCCUAACACAUGCAAGUCGAACGAGCGAGAGAGAGUUUACUUUUUCGAGCGAGUGGCGAACGGGUGAGUAACGCGUGAGGAACCUGCCUCAAAGAGGGGGACAACAGUUGGAAACGACUGCUAAUACCGCAUAAGCCCACAGCUCGGCAUCGAGCAGAGGGAAAAGGAGCAAUCCGCUUUGAGAUGGCCUCGCGUCCGAUUAGCUAGUUGGUGAGGUAAUGGCCCACCAAGGCGACGAUCGGUAGCCGGACUGAGAGAUUGAACGGCCACAUUGGGACUGAGACACGGCCCAGACUCCUACGGGAGGCAGCAGUGGGGAAUAUUGCACAAUGGGGGAAACCCUGAUGCAGCGACGCCGCGUGGAGGAAGAAGGUCUUCGGAUUGUAAACUCCUGUUGUUGAGGAAGAUGAUGACGGUACUCAACAAGGAAGUGACGGCUAACUACGUG